CCUCCGCAAGGAGGCAACCGUUAAAUUGGAAAAAUCGAUACAGAGAAAAUUAGCAACAGCUCCUGCGUAAGGUUAGCUUAAAAUACUAAGAGAAGUAAACAACAUUUUU
rnacentral:snRNA from 1 species